GGGCAGUUAGGUCUUGCUCAUUCAAAAGUAUACUUGAAUACUUGUCAUCCAGAGGCUUGCACAAGCCAAAAUCUGAAAGCUUCAGAUGGCCAUUUUUAUCUAGUAUCAGGUUAUCUGGUUUUAUAUCCCUAUGUAUAUAAUUGUGCUGAUGAAUUGAAUGAAUAGCUAAAAUGCUCUCUGCUAUGUAAAAUCGAGCAACAUCCUCUGACAGAAUGUCUUCUCUCAUUAGCAAUGUCAUAAUGUCACCACCAGGUAAA
rnacentral:misc_RNA from 1 species